UUAAAAACAUUGACGGAGAAAAGUAACUUGUACAAGCCAAUUAGGGAGAGUAUGUCUUAGACUGAAAACAUACUUUUGGUAAAUACAAAUGAAGUUCACCUCCUGAGUUGGCAUCGGGACCACAAUUGGUGUAAAGAUGCAUCGGUGUUAUAAGCCGUUAUCGAUUUCAUGAGUGAGCUAGGGACAAUUAUGUCCUUGCUAACUAGGGUGGUACCACGGAUUCCAGCGCUUCGUCCCUAUG
rnacentral:ncRNA from 1 species